GUCACAGCCUGGUGAGGAGGGGGCUGAAGUUCCUCAGGAAACUCCAGUGGACAAAUUCAUAAACAAGAGCUCCAGUUCCCUGGAACCUGAAUCGGGAGGCCUGCAGCUCACUUUCUCCCUGUUUGCUGGCCAGCAGGGUUUGUGACCGCCUCUGCUGUGACGCCACAGCCUGGUGAGGAGGGGGCUGCAGUUCCUCAGGAAACUCCAGUGGACAAAGUCAUAAACAAGAGUUCCAGUUCCCUGGAACCUGAGUCGGGAGGCCUGCAACUCACUUUCUCCCUGUUUGCUGGCCCAGACAGGCCUGUGCUAGAGGGCUGGAUAGUGUGGUAGUGUGGUGGAUAGAGUGCUGCCUCUAUCCACAACGCAGCCAUAUGCUGACUGAAAGAUAACUUUGUGUCUGGAAGAGCCCUCUGAUUUCUUACACUAAUGGCCUUACACGAGAUGGAGGAUUUUACAUUUGAUGGAACAAAGCGCUUAAGUGUCAACUACGUGAAGGGAAUUCUUCAACCCACAGACACCUGUGACAUCUGGGAUAAGAUCUGGAACUUCCAAGCCAAGCCUGAUGACCUGCUUAUUUCUACCUAUCCUAAAGCAGGAACAACAUGGACUCAGGAGAUAGUGGAAUUAAUACAAAAUGAAGGUGAUGUGGAGAAAAGUAAACGGGCACCGACUCAUCAACGAUUUCCUUUCCUCGAAAUGAAAAUCCCAUCCUUAGGAUCUGGUGAGUACAAAUAGCCACACUUCACUACAGUCCUAAAACGCACUUAGGAUUUUUACUGUCUUUGCACCUUUUGAAAUUAUAGGCUUUCAAACAAUUAUUGGUGAGUUUCAUGGUUUUGUCUUUUUUUAACUGUGUCUGGCCAUUGUUAUACUCCAGACAUUUUCUAAUGGAAUUGCUGUUUAUACAAAAGUGAGUUAAAUUUUGUUUCUCUAGUUAGAAAUUAAUUUUACUUCAAAAGAAUAAGCUCAAGUAAGAUAAUCCUGGUGAAAGGGUUUGAAUUUUUUAGGUUCUUAUUUAUUUGGAUGACUGUUAUGGUUAGGAAUUGUUCUAGUCAAAACAUCUAUUCAUAGGCUAGACGUAUUCUCUCACACCAGAUCUACAGAUACAAUGCUCUUAUAGAUGCUUUGAAUUGUAGUAGUAAUAAUGGAAGCAGCAAGACUUGGAAGCAAAUAGAGAAAAAAAUCGUAGAAAUUGAUCGAAAACCAAUUUUGCAGGUUUGGAACAAGCUCAUGCAAUGCCCUCACCACGGAUCCUGAAAACACAUCUUCCCUUUCACUUGCUGCCACCAUCCUUGCUAGAGAAAAACUGUAAGGUAAAAAGCAAAAGGAAUUCAGAGUUGUACUCCUUAAAACAACCUUAGUCUUCCAUUUCCUCUUAAAACACUUCACUUGUUAAAUAUAUAUAUAUAUAUAUAUACCUCUUCACAAUAAUCAAUAUGCAAAUUAAUAUGAAUCCUAGCCAGGCACGUUGGCUCAUGCCUGUAAUCACAGCAUUUUGGGAGACUGAGAUGGGUGGAUCAGUUGAGGUCAGGGGUUCAAGACCAGCCUGAUCAACACAGCGAAACCCCAUCUCUACCAAAAACACAAAAUUCACAGGACGUGGUGACACACGCCUGUAAUCCAAGCUACUCAGGAGGCUGAGGCAGGAGACUCGCUUGAACACAGGAGGCAGAGGUUGCAGUGAGCCAAGAUCGCACCAUUGCACUCCAUCCUGGGUGACAGAGAAAGACUCCAUCUCAAAAAAAACAAA
rnacentral:sRNA from 1 species